CCUACGGGCGGCAGCAGUGGGGAAUAUUGCACAAUGGGCGAAAGCCUGAUGCAGCAACGCCGCGUGAAGGAAGAAGGGUUUCGGCUCGUAAACUUCUAUCAACAGGGACGAAGGAAAUUACGGUACCUGAAUAAGAAGCUCCGGCUAACUACAUGACAGCAGCCGCGGUAAUACGUAGGGGGCAAGCGUUAUACGGAAUUACUGGGUGUAAAGGGUGAGUAGGCGGCAUGGUAAGCCAGAUGUGAAAGCCCUGGGCUUAACCCGAGGAUUGCAUUUGGAACUAUCAAGCUAGAGUACAUGAGAGGAAAGCGGAAUGCCUAGUGUAGCGGUGAAAUGCGUAGAGAUUAGGAAGAACACCAGGGGCGAAGGCGGCUUUUUGGACUGAAACUGACGCUGAGGUACGAAAGCGUGGGGAGCGAACAGGAUUAGAUACCCUAGUAGUC
rnacentral:rRNA from 1 species